rnacentral:rRNA from 1 species
AGAGUUUGAUCCUGGCUCAGGAUGAACGCUGGCGGUAUGCUUAACACAUGCAAGUCGUACGAAUAAUAUGUUUUUCGGAAUUUAUUAUUAGUGGCGGACGGGUGAGUAACGCGUAAGAAUCUACCUUUAGGAAGGGGGCAACAGUUGGAAACGACUGCUAAUUCCCUAUAUGCUGAGGAGUAAAACGGUAUUAACCGCCUAAAGAUGAGCUUGCGUCUGAUUAGCUAGUUGGUAAGGUAAUAGCUUACCAAGGCAAUGAUCAGUAGCUGGUCUGAGAGGAUGAUCAGCCACACUGGGACUGAGACACGGCCCAGACUUUUUCGAAAGGCAGCAGUCCGGAAUCUUGGACAAUUGGCAAAAGCCAGAUCCAGCCAUAUUACGUGAAGGAUGAAGAUUUUUUAGGUUGUAAACUUCUUUACUUUUUCAAUAAAUAGAAAAAGUAUAAAAAGCCCCGGCUAAAUCUGUGCCAGCAGCCGCGGUAAUACAGAUGGGGCAAGUGUUAUUCGGAAUGAUUGGGCGUAAAGGGUACGUAGGCGGUUUUACUAGUCAGUUGUCACAAUCUUUUAAAAAAAGAACCGCAACUUUUAAAGACUACAAAACUUGAGUUUGAUAUAGGAAAGCGGAAUUUUGAGUGGAGAGAUAGAAUUCAUAGAUAUUCAACGGAACACCGAAAACGAAGGUAGCUUUCUGGAUCAAAACUGACGCUCAUGUACGAAAGCAUGGGGAGUAAAUGGGAUUAGAUACCCCAGUAAUCCAUGCCGUCAACGAUGAGUGUUCACUCUAUGAUUUAUUGAAUUGUGGGGUUUAGCUAACGCGUUAAACACUCCGCCUGAGGAGUACGGUCACAAGGCUGAAACUCAAAGGAAUUGCCGGGAGCUCGUACAAGCGGUGGAUCAUGUGGUUUAAUUCGAAACAACGCGCAAAACCUUACCAAUCCUUGUAUACAAAAACCAAUUUCUUUUUAUAAAGAUUUUUUGAAGUUUUGAACAGGUGCUGCAUGGCUGUCGUCAGCUCGUGUCGUGAGAUGUUGGGUUAAGUCCCGCAACGAGCGCAACCCUUGUCUUUUGUUGCAGUAGUUUUCUACUAACUAAAGAGACUGCCGGUGAUAAAUCGGAGGAAGGUGAGGAUGACGUCAAGUCAGCAUGCCCCUUACGAUCUGGGCUACACACGUGCUACAAUGGUUGGGACAAAGAGAUGCAACCUCGCGAGAGCAAGCUAACCUCAAAAACCCAAUCUUAGUUCGGAUUGCAGGCUGCAACUCGCCUGCAUGAAGUUGGAAUCGCUAGUAAUCGCUGGUCAGCCAUACAGCGGUGAAUACGUUCCCGGGUCUUGUACACACCGCCCGUCACACCAUGGGAGCUGGCUAUGCCCGAAGUCGUUACCCCAACCAUCUGGAGGGGGGCGCCUAAGGUAGAGCUAGUGACUAGGGUGAAGUCGUAACAAGGUAGCCGUACUGGAAGGUGUGGCUG